UCUAUGUUAAGUGAAAUAAGUGAGGCACAGAAAGACAAAUAUCAAAUGUUCUUACUCAUAUGUGGGGCUAAAAAAAUGGGAGAUAGUGAAUAGCAUGGUGGUUACCAAAGACUGGGAAGGGUAGUGGGAGGAGCGAAUGAAAAGGGGUUGGUUAAUGGAUAUAAAAGUACAGUUAGAUAGAAGGAAUAAGAUCUAGUGUUUGGUAGUACAAUAGGGCAACUAUAGUUAACAGUAAUUUAUUUUAUAUUUCACAAUGUACUCAACAUAAGGAAAUGAUAAAUGUUCAAAGUGAUGAAUAUCCCAGUUACCCAGAUUUGAUCAUUAUGCACUGUAUGCUUGUAUCAAAAUAUCACUGGGACUCCAUAAAUAUGUACAACUAUUAUGUACUCAUAAAAAAUAAAAAUAAAUUUAAAACCAAAUUACUAAUUGUUCUAAUUAAUGGACAUAAGAUAUAUUUCCAUUUAUUUGUGUUUUCUUUUUCUUUUUUUUUUUGAGACGGAGUCUCACUCUGUCGCCCAGGCUGGAGUGCAAUGGCGCAAUCUCGGCUCACUGCAACCUCCACCCCCCCGGGUUCACACCAUUCUCCUGCCUCAGUCUCCUGAGUAGUUGGGACUUUACCAAAGGGACAUCAUAAGACAGAAAUUGGGCCAGCUGUUGAGAAUUCAGAGAUGAAGACAGAGCUCUUGGCUUAAUGGAGUCCUGAUGUUAGUGAUGAUUAUAUUAAGGCAAUUUCUGUAAAAUGUUCGAUUUCCCUCCCUCCAGCAUCUUGGCUGGAUGUAAGUGAUUGUGUUCUUUUAUGUGAAGCUACCCUGGAUCCCUGCAAUAGUGUUAUUCACUGAGCAUGAAUAAUGGGUUGGUUAUUGGCAAUUCUGUAGAGCAGGAAUGACUAUUAGCGAACUUGGAGCUCACUAAAGGGAUAUCAGUUACUGGAAUGUCAAGAGGACAUAUCAAUCAAGAUCUCUCAUAAUAAGUUGAGGAGACAGCAUGUCUACAACUGAAAAUGUGGCAAGGGCAUGAUGUACGAGGAUGACGGGCAGAUGACUUCUGUGGAUGAUCCAGAGAAGGAGCCAUCACCGGGGACAACCCAGAUCAGGAACAGCUUCAUAGAGUACGUGUAGCGUGUCUUUCAAGGGGGCCUCUCCUGUGAAGCUUCCUGGAUGCUGGGAUCAAUUAUCGUGCUUAAGAGACCAGGUGAGGCUACACAGAAAAAAUACCCUGCAUGACCUGCCCUACCAACCUCUCCACAACACUCCAGUUUCUCACAGCUCAUUCCUGCUCCGGGACUUUUCCAUUUAUUUACUACCCCAUUGCCCUGGAGUGCUCUUUGGCUAGACAGAAGAGUAGACUCCUCAUCUUCCAAGUCUCACCCCCACCGUAAUCUGUGAGAAUGCGUGCUAUCUGAAAAUUUCCUGUCUGUGCUCUUAACAUCUUUGUAACUAGAAUGAAAGCUCCAUGCAGUA